AUGGCGUCUGUUCUAGUUCCUAUGCAUGUUACUGAGCGGGACGAAGACGAAACCAAUCCCCUGGUCAAAUAUUAUCAAGCGACUGAACUCAUCCCCAGCAAAAAACCAUUGCUGCACAACAUUUUCAGCAAACAACUCGCAGCCUGGGCGUCCACACAGGUGGUGAGCGGCGCUGUGACCUUCGGUCUGGGACUGGUGUUUGCAAGCACCAGUGUGUUCAACGAACGCCUUCUCACCAUUUUCAGGGUUCCACUGUCAACUGGACUGUUGUUCUUCAUUGCAGGACUCUUAUCCAUACUCCUUUACAAAGAGCCAAGAUUACUUCCAGUCUGUUUCUUUGUCAACAUCUUCUGCAUUGUGUUUACUGGUUUGGGAAUUGGGAUGAUUUGUGCCGAUUUGCAUAAUUUUGUCAACGCAACUGACAAUUAUUAUAAGGUAAUGUAUUGGGCAUUAUUGAAUUAUACUCUGGGCUGGAAUGAUUUUGUGACCUUGUGAAAAAUGUUUCUCAGCUGCCAUAAUAACACAAUUUCGACAAACCCAGAGGCUGGGUCUGUGUGAGCAGUUGUUCGGUGGCGGUUCAUUCUAAACUGUUAACAAAGCAUAAUAAGCUUCUGAAUUACUGCCAUUAAAGAUUCAAAGACUUUUCCAACAAUAAGUCAUUGUAUUUAGAUAAAUACAAUGAAAUACAAUGAAAUUCUAAUUUUUCAAAUGUUCAUGUAAUAAUUCUAUCAAGUAAUACUUCAUUAUUAAUCAUGUCC
rnacentral:lncRNA from 1 species